AUGAAGACGAGGAGGAGGAGGAGGAAGAGACUCCUCCCCCUCCAGCGGGGGAAGGGAAGAAAAGGAAGGCCGCCCCAACUAGGGAGGCCGAAGGGUCCAAGAAGGGGAAAACCCUUCCUCCGGACUACUCCACCGAUGCCGAAGACGGCGGAAAGGAGUGGCCGCUCAGGGCCAAGCCCCUGGCUAAAUCGUAAUUAUCCGGAUACCAGAGUAAUUCAUAGUAUUCCUUUAUUGCACAACUUUCUCUUAUGUCGAAUAUGUUUAUGCAGCCCACCUAAAGACCGGCUCGACACGUCGUCGAGCGGUUCACUGGACUCCGAGCGGGAGAAGUAUGAGGCCGAGGUUGGCAAGGUGCGGCAAGAGCUCCAGGCUCUUAUGGAAAAACAUGAGAGUUUGGAGCUUGACUCAAAGACGCGGGCGUCCAAGCUUGCGGUGGCUAUUGAAAAUGCCAAGUCUGCCAAGGCUGAAUCCCAGAAGACCCUCUAG
rnacentral:rRNA from 1 species